rnacentral:rRNA from 1 species
AAAAUGACUCUCGGCAACGGAUAUCUUAGCUCUCGCAUCGAUAAAGAACGUAGCGAAAUGCGACACUUGGUGUGAAUUGCAGAAUCCCGUGAACUAUCGAGUCUUUGAACACAAGUUGCGCCCGAAGCCAUUACGCGGAGGGCACGUCUGCCUGGGCAUCACGC